CUGCAUACCAGUAGACCUUACCUGGUUCUUCCCAUAGCCAGGCGAGGGGGACGGUGCAUGCUACAGAACCAGGGCUGGCUGCAGGCUGUGGUCAGCCUCAGUGUGGCCGAUUGAAUUGCAGCACGCUGACAUUU